AGACAUGCGGUGGCCGUAACAGAGCCGGAGACGGUUUGGACGCCGGUUAGACCGGCCGGAGAACGGCGUUUCUCGGUUGAACCUGUGAUCUCUUCGAGCUUUUGAGAGCUCUGUUCCGCUUGCUCCUUUCACUUUUUUCAUUUUCUCUGGGAGAGCAAAAGAAAGAGCCACAGCGUGUUUCCUUUCUUUUGGGUUGCUGCAUUGAUCGUUAAGAUCCGAUCGAUCUGUGCAAAGCGUCUGUGAUUCUGAUGGAUGGAGAGCUCUCUGCGUUCGCAGGUUUCAGAUGCUAUGCUGCUGAGGUUGGUAUCACAAAAACCAUUUGAUGAUCAGCUUAGCAGCCUAAGAGGACCUUGAUCGGGCUCUAGGUUGCUAUGGACCCAACAUAACCGACCAUAAUGAGCUCCCUUCUCUGGAGGCAAUAAUCAAAAGUUGAUGUCACCUUCCUGUUCCAACACAGCGAUGCUGGCAAUUUCCAUCUUUUGAGUUGUAUUCUACUUUACCAGAAAAUUUUCCAUAUUUGAGGUUCAUUGACUUACUCAUAUACAUUUGCAAUCCCUCCUACUUCAAGAACAACAUUUGAAAACAUUGUCUGCUAUGUGAAGUCAAAAAUUGUUCUACAAUGAUAUGUGAAGGAGAUUCCUGUUUCCUAUGUGCAUCAUCAGACUGGUGAUGUACACAGCUUGGAGGAUCGUUGUACACUCUGAGGAAUGCAUUUCUGCUCAUGAACCCCAGUAAUGAUGCAUAUCUGGUUUAGCAGGAAGUCCACUGGCUGUUUUUUGAUGAAGUGAUGACUCCAGCCAGUAAUAUCCCAAUUUUUACUUGGUGGUAAUGGUGUGCAGGAAGUAAGGACUAAAAGAUCAAGAACUUGUGCUUGUCUAAUUUUUAUGGAGUUCCACAUGGACAAUAUUCGUUCUGUUGGUUUACUAUUCAUGGCUAAAUUGUCAUUGAGGUUCUGUUUUUAUGGUUUUUUUUUUUUUUUUGGUGCAAAUGUUUUUGUGGUUUAAGUUUGUGUCAUUAUUGUUUAAUUCAUAUGAUAAGAAAUUUUUUUUUUGGUAAA